AUUGAACGCUGGCGGCAGGCCUAACACAUGCAAGUCGAGCGGAGCGGCGGACGGGUGAGUAAUGCCUAGGAAUCUGCCUGGUAGUGGGGGAUAACGUCCGGAAACGGGCGCUAAUACCGCAUACUAUCAGAUGAGCCUAGGUCGGAUUAGCUAGUUGGGGGGGUAAAGGCCUACCAAGGCGACGAUCCGUAACUGGUCUGAGAGGAUGAUCAGUCAACCCGGAAAUGGGACAACGUCCCGGCUCCUACGGGAGGGAGGCGUGGGGAAUAUUGGACAAAGGGCGAAAGCCUGAUUCAGCCAUGCCGCGGUUGGGAAGAAGGUCUUCGGAUUGUAAAGCACUUUUAGUUGGGAGGCGUUACCAACAGAAUAAGCACCGGCUAACUUCGUGCCAGCAGCCGCGGUAAUUC
rnacentral:rRNA from 1 species